AAGGCAACUUUUGCAUAUUAAAGUUGUGAGGAGAGCCACUAAAAUAAAGUAGAAUAUAAUAAUUUAUGAACUAAGAGGGGAAACAAAAGGAAAUCAAAACUCAGUCCAUUUAAUAGAAGCCAAGAAUGGAGAAGAGAAAAAAACAUAGUGAAAGCAAAGCAUGAGUCCAUUCUGCAACCAUAAGUCUAUUUCUCUGCUCACUUCUGUUUUGUGAGUUUGACUGUGAACUCAAAUUCAUCAGGACUUCAUGUGGCCUAAAUCCACUGUGAUCCUUCAGAGGUUUUAGUCUUUGCUUUUCCAAAAGCACCCAAAACUUCAUUGGCCCCUAGAGUUCCAAACAUUGAACGUCAAUUUUUCAGGUUAAUGCUCUUCUGAUUUUGCACAGCAUGUAAAUGCGAAUUCUAAACUUAUAUGUAGGUAAUCCCAUAAUUAUAAUUUCUAGGAGGAAUCAUUUUUUUCUAUACAUAAACCAGGAGUGAGGACAAAUAUUUUGGUCUUUUUCUUGUGCUCUUUAGUACCCUCUUCUAGUCCACGAUUUGACUGAGAGUCCCAGAACUAAGAGGUCUAAUUCUACCUCAAACUCUCACACAGAGAAAAUUUCCCCAUAAUAGCCAAGCAUUGCCCAUCAUUUUCAUGACCUGCAGUCACUUUCCAUAAACUUUCCUCUCCCAAAUCUCCCACUGUUUCAGAUAACAUGAUGUCAUUUGUUUAUUGUAAAGAAUGUAUCCAGAAUUCAUAAGUUAUUUUUUUGAAGAAUUUUUUAAAUUUCAAUACUGUUAAUAGAUGUGUAAUCUUUGCUUUAUAAUACAUGGAUAUUUUGUGAGGAUCAAUUGAAAUGAUAUAUAAGGACACAAUUUAUAAAUUUCUUGUCAGUAAGUGUAUGCUUUGCCUUAUCAUUACUAUUAUUAUAUAACACCUUCCUAUAUUGUCAGGUUAUUAUCUUUUAAUUCUGUGUUGCACAGAAGAAUCAACAGAUGCUUACAGUGAUGAAGUUAUGAGGAAGAAAAUGAGUAAAAAAUUGUUCAAAAUGCAAUUGGUAUUAAUUCCUCUUCCAUACUAUGAUUUCUUCUACAUACUCUAUUUCAGUAGCAUAACUUGCCCUUAGGGCAUGGCUUUACUUUGAAAUGCUAGCAGUCAGAAGUUGAGUUUACUUGCAUCAUUUCUUCCACUUUCUGAUUAUGAUUAUGAUUCUAACUUAACUUUCAUGACACUCUCAGUUUCUAAUUGGUGAAAAAAGAAGUUAUACUACGAUGAGAAUUAAAUAUUAAAUUUAAGUAUGAAUAUGUAGACGUCUUUUGAAAAUUCAAAAUAAUAAUUUUAUACUUUUAGAGAGUCUUGAAAAAUGUAUUAUCAAUUAUGUUUUAUUGGUCAGUGCAGAUUAGAGCACAUGAUAUGAAGAUAGGCAAGGGAAUACACAGAGAAAAAUCAUGCAUUUAACACUGUUAGAAAAAUCCUCUGCUUAUGUAUGGAGAGAGGUCUAUUUUUGUAUGUCCUCAUGGAACCAUGAACUUCAAGUGUCAAUUCUAAACUUCAAUUUAAUACACUGAUAUAAGUAAACAUUACUUGUGGGUCAAAUUUUGGCAUUUGUAGCAUCACAAAUAUGUGAAUCUAUUUGCUUUCUGAGUUCAGAUAAUAAAUUCUACAACAUAACCUAUUUGCUUUUUAGUCCCUAAGUUUGGAUAGUUUAUAGUGAGAGUCACAUUGCAAGAAAUGUCAUUCCUAUAUACAAAAAAAAAAAAUGACCUCAAUCUAUUCAGUUCCUUAGUUAGAUAAAAAGAGUUUGAAUAGCAAGGAAUAUGAUUGUUUGUAUUUGUAUACAUACGCAGAGAAAGGACAGAGAGAGAGAAUGAGGUCUGCAGUCAGAAGUCUUAUUCUGUCACCUGAAAUUGGUGAGAACUGAAGUUUUCCUCAUUUAAAAAUUUAUGACAAUAGAUACCUCUAAUUUGUGAUCCCAGAUAAGAAUAUGGCUGUAAAAUAACUGUAAAUUAUUCUUCUGAAACCUUAAAAUAUUAUUUAAACAUCAGACAUUAUUUUAGUAUUUUGUACAUUUUCAUAUUUACCAGGCUAUUGGAAGAAGCAGGAAUGUAAUAGACACAUUUUAUAGGAAAAAGCUUUUUAUUGAAGUACAGUUGAUUUACAAUAUAUAUUAAUUUCAAGUGUAGAGCACACUGCUUCAGAUUUUUUCAGAUUAAACUCCAUUGAAAGUUAUUACAAGCUAAUGGAUAUAGUUCCCUGUGCUAUACAGUAUAUCCUUGUUUCUUAUCUAUUUUUUACAUAGUAGUUUGUAUCUCUUAAUCCCAUAUCCUUAAAAUUCCCCUCCCCCAUCUCCUCUCUCCUCUGGUCAGUACUAGUUUGUUUUCCAUACUUAUAAGUCUAUUUCUGUUUUGCUGUAUAUCCUUGUUUGCAUUUUUUUUCUUUUUCAGCUACACCCGUGGCAUAUGGAAGUUCCCAGGCCAGGGCUCGAAUCUGAACUGUAGCUGCAACCUAUGCCACAGCUGCAGCAAUGCUGGAUCCUUAACACACUAUAACAGACCAGGGUUCAAACUCACACCUCAGUAGUGACUGGAGCUGCCCCAGAUGCACCACAUCAGGAACUCUUGUACUAUUUUUUUAGAUUGCAUUGUAAGUGUUAUCAUACAGUAUUCAUCUUUCUUUGGCAGACAUUUCACAAAACGUAAUAAUCUCUAAGUCCAUCCACAUUGCUGCAAAUGGCAGAAUUUUCAUUCUGUUUUAUGGCUGAGUAAUAUUUCAUUGUAUAUACAUACACCACCUCUUUUUUAUCUCCUCAUUGUUGAUGGACAUUUGGGUUGCUUACAUCUCAGGGCUGUUGUAAAUAGUGCUGUUAUAAUUGAGGUGCCUGUAUUUUUCAAAUUAGUGCUUUAAUUUUUUUUCUGGAUAUAUACUCAGGAGUGGAGUUGCUAGCUAUAUUUUUAUGAUGAUAGUUAUAUUUUUAGUUUUUUGAAGCACCUCUAUAUUGUUUUCUAUAAUGGCUGUACCAAUUUAUACUCCCACCAACAGUGUACAAGGGUUCCCUUAGGAAAAUAAAAUUUUAUUAUCAUUGGGGUCCAUAAGAAGCUGCCCCAAAAUUUGCCUCAAUGGCAUAUUAUUUUGAAUUCAGGUUAUUUCAGAAAUGGCCAGAGUAAGAGGGAAACUCUGACCCUCCUUUCUGUCUCCCUGUAAGCAGGAAAUAAAUCUCUCAUAUGAAUGGUGCACUCCCUGUAAGUAGAAGGACACCCUUACUUCCAAAGAUAGGGAAUUUGGCCAAGAAACCUACAUGAAAAAACUUGUUAGUUGUUUAAUUUACAACCUCAAGCCCAUACUCUGUUUUUAUUCUUCACUAAUUGGGCACCCCAAACCUGAGUUUUCUUGUCCUGUCAGUGCCUCAAAAAUUUAUCUUUUCUUUGUCUAAAAAGUGUAAAAGCUGCCUGCUUUGGCUGCUUCUUAGUUUUCAUUUCUGUGAGAUCUCCAGGAGCAUGAAUUAAAAUGUGUUUCUUUUUCUCAUGUGAAUCUGUUUAGCAUCAGUUUUAUUAUUCAUCCAGCCAUAAGAACUCACAAGGGGUAAAAGAGGAAAUACUCCCCUCCCCAACAUUAUAAAUAACUUUAGUUUGAAGAAUUGUAUCAAAGCAAAAAAAUGGGGAUCCCGUUUGCCUAUCAUCUAAGAUAAUUUGUUUACUGUUAUGAUAGCAAGCACUAUGAAAAGGAAAAAAAAUGUGUCCUAUGGUAUUUGAGGCAUAACAAUAAUUCACAGAGGAAGACACACUAACCUUGUUGUUAUAAUGGGUUGCUAUGAUCACAAGGGAGAGCUGGAAGACCAUUACAAACUCACCUCUUGAUGCCUUAGUUUUUGCAUGGCUGAUAUUACUUCCUUAUUUCUUAAGGUGUAGAUCAAGGGGUUUAGAAGAGGGGUAAAAACAGUGUAAAAUAUUGAGAGGACCUUGUCCACUGGGAGGUUGUUAAAAGGCCAGGCAUAGAUGAAAAUGCAGGGUCUGAAGAAGAGGGGUCACCACAGUGAUAUGGGCAGUCAGGGUGGCCCUUGCCUUGGCCAUGCCCACUGAGGGAUGCCGCCACACAGUAACCAGGAUGACUGUGUAGGAGACUAGCAAGAGCACAAAGGAGCUCAUGGCAUUAGACCACUGUCUGAAAGCAUCAGGACCUCAAGAGUGAAGGUGUCUGUGCAGGCAAGUUUGAUAACCAGGGGCAAGUCACAGAAAAAACUGUCCACUUGGUUGGGUCCACAGAAUGGAAGGUUUACUGUGAAGACCAGCUGACUUACUGAGUGCAGAAUCCCAAUGAGCCAGGAGCCCACCACGAGGCUGGUGCACCUGCGCUCACUCAUGAUGGUCGCAUAAUGCAGGGGGCGACAUAUGGCUACAUAUCUAUCAUAUGCCAUGGCCACAAGGAGCAUCAUCUCACCACCAGCAAAGACGUGCAGGAAGAAUAUCUGGGCCAUGCAACCCUCGAAAGAGAUGGUCCUGUGCUCCUCAAGGAAGUCAACAUUCAUCUUGGGGGUGGCAAAUGUAGACAGACAUACAUCAGUGAAAGAGAGGUUACUGAGUCGAAAGUUCAUGGGUGUGUGCAGGGUGGGUUCAGAGAUGACUGUGAGCACAAUGAGGAGGUUCCCCAGCACAAUGGAUAAAUACAAAAGUGUAAAAAGUGCAAAAUAGAAAAGUUGUAGCUCUCGAGGACCUGAAAGACCGUGCAAUACAAAUUCAGUCACUCCUGAUUUAUUUUCUUGAUCCAUGAUUUCAAAUUGCUGAAAUUGGAUCAGAAAUGUUCCUGUAAAGUGAAAUGGAAAAGCAUCGUAAGAUUGAGAGAGUAAAUGACCAAAGUCAAGCCAGGUAUCACAUUGUAUUCAACACAUUUAUGUUCCUCAUUAGCACACAAAAUACACAUUGCAUACAAUCAUUUAUUUUGUCAUGACUGGAUAACCUUGGCUUUCAUCUCUGCAUCUGAGCAUGAUAGUUUUAUUCUAAAAACAGAAGUUUACCCAUCAUCUUACAAUUUCUAAAUUCCUGAAAUUAGAAAGAAAGUCUAGGGUCAUACUGACAGGUUUCAAAAGCUAUCUCUUGUAAUUCUUAGCACUAUGACCUUGGGCAAGCUAAUUAAAUUCUCUGUGCUUCAGUUUUUGUAUCUGCAAAUUGGGGGAAAUAAUAGAAUGUGGCUCAGAGGAUUGCUGUAAGGAUUAAAAGAGUUACAGGUAUUUCCUGCUUAUUCAAAGUUUGCUUUAUACCACUUUGCUUUUACUAAAGACUUACAUUAGCACCUGUUUUCAAUAACUGAAAGAAAUCCAAAGAGGGUUUUUGCUUUUUGAAAAAAGGUAAAUAAAAUGUAAUCAUAGGGUUCAGCGAGAUUUUUUUUUUUUGUGGCACUUUAUUACAUACCAUAUGACUGUAAGAAUAAGCUUAGAAUAAACAUGGCUGAAUCUGCAGAAAAGGUCCUGAAGUUCAAUACCAUAUAGAAAAAAGAACUCACUUCUAGAAUAUUAACAGGGAGUUCAAACAUAGAGAAACAAAUUCAAUCUCAUUCACAGAACGGAAAAUACAGACAAUUAUAUUAAAGUAGUUUUUUUACAGACAGCUAUUUGAAGUGGCAGAAGUAUUAAAAUUUACACGAGUCUACUCAUUUGCCAUAUAGACUCACUAAGCAAAUUGGAAUUUGUCCAGUCUUUUUAGUUCAUAAGUUCCACACAAAGACACUGAGUUAUCAUGAUGAUACGAGAAAUAUGUUCUUCUCAGAUGGCUUGCGAUACUUCUUAUACUUUAUACUCUAUUUAAAAGGAGGAGAAAGUGAAAAUGUAUUUCUCAUUGAUGAGUAACUUUGCCCCAGUGGGGCCAUUGCUAACAAGCCCUUUCAUGUUAUGGACUAACAAAUAGCAUUUCUAUCUAGGGAUUCACACUUCCAAAAAUCAUGCAAAAAUUGCCAUAUUGUAAAAGUAUAAAUCACCUAGGCAAGAGAAAAUAUAUCCUCUUUCUUUCUUCUUUUCCCAAUUAAACAUAAUUCAGAAAUGUCUGCAAAUUCAGUUUCUACCAGAAUAAGAAUUUUAAAAUGAGCGAGACAAAGUGCUUAUCUGUAAGUAGCCUGCAAUUUAGAAGAGCAAUUAGAAAUAAACAAUGAAAAUAUACAAAGGAAAUAGAAGAGCAUGCAUAUUUUAAAAGAAGUAACAAAAUUACAUAGGUGUUCAACCUUGGGACAGACUGUUUUCUGUUGGAAAGAUCAGGAAAGGAAGAAGUACUAAGAAGGAAGAGAAGGGUCAAGGAAAAGGAUGAGGUAAAUACAAAAGGGACGGGAGACAAAAUACAGUAAUCAUAAAUGGCCUUAAACAUGAUAUAAGAUUUUGAAAGGCAGAGAUAAUGAGUGAAGGAAGAUGACACAGCUCGUGGACUGUGGCACCAUGAGUGCCCAUAGAGAUCCCUACCUGCUGCUGCCCUCUUUGCCUGCCAUGGACCCUUCAGGGUUGGCCAAAAACCCAGGGCUCCAGGAAGGGUGCACCAGAUGGAGGAGGUGCAGAAUGUCGACAACCAGCACCCACUUAUGCUGAAUCAGUUAUUCAUGAAGAUUCUGUUUCAAUGACUCAAGGAGAGCCCUUGAGUCUCCCUUGUCAGAAGGAGCUAGUGGGGGCUGUGAUGCAUCCCAGUGAGGUCUUCUGCUCAGUUCCUGGAAUACUGUCCCUUCUCAGUUCUACAUCUAAAUACAAAGUGACCAUUGCUGAAAUCCAGAGGCGACUAUCCUGCCUGCGUGCUUAAAUGCCUCUUUACUGGGAGGUGUUCUCCGAAGAGCCAAAUCUAAAAAUGGUAGCUGGUCCUUGCACUAGAAAUUGGACAAGAUUGGGUUGAAUCUUUCUGCUCACAUUAACCCUCCUGAUGUCUUUAGUAGAAGGUUAGGCUGAUCAUUUGGCCUGGGACGUUGUCUCUGUCUUCGAGGCAGAAUUUCCCAGUAAAUCCAUGGCCAAAUAUUUAACUGGACCUCAUCUCAGAAGAUGGACUGAGAUGGCAACUGGGAAAAACAUGCUGCUGGCCACACAGCCAAGUGUGUAAGGAAUUCAUGAAGCCUACCAAUCAAGAGGGAAUUCCCAACGAGAACAACUGGCCCACCCCAGUACUACUCAUCUCAUAUCAGCCUGACUACCUGUGGGUUUGGCAGCCACAGGUAAUCAGUGGCAUCUGUGCCACUGUGGCUGUUGUGCAGAACUAUGUAAAAGAUGUCCUAACAGUCACAGAUAAAUCAGGUAUGAAUCCUGGAGACUAGAGUCCAGCCAAUUCUAGCAAAGCCCUGGGGAAGAUGGAGAAACAUAGGAAAUAAAAUGGGCAUGAACAAGGGCCAGAGAGUUUGGAAGGAAACGGACUCCAAAUCCAUUCUCAACCAAAACAGUCUGGAACCCCUCUUGUCUGGGAGACAGAGUUUGUUAUCCACAUUCCCAUUAGAAAGGGAUCCAUUUCCAAAUCUAAACAUCUCCUCCUGGAUUCCUUGUAUUUCUCUAGAGAGCACUGAAGUGCAUCCUUAACUCUGGGUGAGAUGACAGGUACUGGUUCUUUUUAUUAUUAAGCUUAUAUCUUAUUUUUUGAGCCUCAUUCCUUUUUCUGAACGUGGUGCCACAAGUUUUUGAACCUUUUACAUAAAUUCCCUGGGCGAAACGAAAACACACACACACACUCAGCUGUUGAAAUGUCAAAUUCAUGUGAUUCAGAUCAACAAUAACUUGCAGGGUUAAGGUAAAAGUAUUUAUGUACCUUCUUCAGGUCUAUUCCUACACCCUUAGGAGGCAAAGAUUCUAUCUGCUUAGCAACUGGUUAAUAGGUGGCAUUUGACAUACUUUUACCCCUUGCUCAAGGGGGCUCUUUGGAUUUUACAAAAUUUGUAGAAACAAAGCCGGCUGAUGAUUUAAUUAAUUUUAAUGAUAUUUCAAUUUAAUUAAUUUAAUUUAAUCCAAUUUCUUCAAAUUGGACUCACUUUGAAAAAAGACUUGUUCCUUUAAGGUAUGGAAAGUUUAUUUUGCAUGUUUAUCUCACACCUUGGUGUUUGAGGAAAACUUGAAAAGCAUAGGAAUGAAGUUUUGGAUUAUUUUGUUUUGUUUUGUUUUUUUGUUGUCUGUCACCCCAAGUCCUAGAGGAGGCUCUGCAUUUUGAGAAACUACUGAAUAUACAGAUUGUAUUUAUGCAUAAUUUAAUGGGGUCUAUAAAUAUGGGUGCACCUCUUAUGACUUCUUGAGAAAUGGGAGUCAAUUUUAAUAUUAACUAUUAAAUGUGUCAGGGUAAACUAAGUCUUAGCUGUAGGUUUUAGUCAUAUGUACACAAGGUAUGAAGAAUUAAGAGGAAGCAUCCUGAGCUCUGUUCUUGACACAGGAGACUAUUUAACUGAAGCUCUCUGUUCACAGAGCAGUACCUUUGUCUCAUUCCUGUUAAGCUGACCCAGAAGAUUAAGUGUGAGGUAGAAUGUGUGCGUGGAUGAAAAUGGAGAUUUGAAAUUGAAAUCCUUGCCUAUAAAUAUUCCUCAAAUAAUUGUAAAUAUGAAACAUGUAUAAUAAAAGUCUUCUUAAUUUAAGAAAAAGAAAAGAAAGAAUUUCUGUAUUUAGCUAAACGGAGAUCAGUAGUGACCUUGAAAGAAUUGAUUUUAGUGGAAUAUGGAGAUGAAAGCCUGAUUAGAGUAGGAAUAAGAGAACAAAAGAAAGAGAUAAUAGAGACAGUGUGAAUAAUCCUGCAGAAGUUUCAUAAUCUCUGAAAGAGAAGAAAAGAAAUGACAUAUUAGAAGAGUAGAAAUCAGAGGUCCCAUCAUGGCUCAGCAGAAACAAAUCUGACUAGUAUCCAUAAAGACACAGGUUCAAUCCCUGGCCUCACUUAGUGGGUUAAGGAUCCGGAAUUGCUGUGACCUGUGGUGUAGGUCACAGACACAGCUCAGAUUUGGCAUUGCUGAGUCUGUGGCAUAGACUGGUGGCUACAGCUCUAAUUCAGCCUCUCGCCUGGGAACUUCCAUAUGCCAUAGUUGCAGCCC
rnacentral:lncRNA from 1 species